ACUUGGCUGGCUCAGCCAGUAGAGUAUGUGACUCUUGAUCUCAGGGUCAUGAGUUCAAGCCCCAUGUUGGGCA
rnacentral:tRNA from 1 species